rnacentral:rRNA from 1 species
UACGGAGGGUGCGAGCGUUGUCCGGAAUCACUGGGCGUAAAGGGCGCGUAGGCGGCCGCGUAAGUCACUUGUGAAAUCCCGGGGCUCAACUCCGGGGCUGCAGGUGAGACUGCGUGGCUAGAGCACGGUAGAGGCGAGUGGAAUUCCCGGUGUAGCGGUGGAAUGCGUAGAUAUCUGGAGGAACACCGGUGGCGAAGGCGGCAUCCUGGACCAAUUCUGACGCUGAGGAGCGAAAGCCAGGGGAGCAAACGGG